rnacentral:rRNA from 1 species
GACGAACGCUGGCGGCGUGCCUAAUACAUGCAAGUAGAACGCUGAAGCGAGGAGCUUGCUCUUCUUGGAUGAGUUGCGAACGGGUGAGUAACGCGUAGGUAACCUGCCUUGUAGCGGGGGAUAACUAUUGGAAACGAUAGCUAAUACCGCAUAACAAUGGAUGACACAUGUCAUUUAUUUGAAAGGGGCAAUUGCUCCACUACAAGAUGGACCUGCGUUGUAUUAGCUAGUAGGUGAGGUAAUGGCUCACCUAGGCGACGAUACAUAGCCGACCUGAGAGGGUGAUCGGCCACACUGGGACUGAGACACGGCCCAGACUCCUACGGGAGGCAGCAGUAGGGAAUCUUCGGCAAUGGGGGCAACCCUGACCGAGCAACGCCGCGUGAGUGAAGAAGGUUUUCGGAUCGUAAAGCUCGGUUGUAAGUCAAGAACGGGUGUGAGAGUGGAAAGUUCACACUGUGACGGUAGCUGACCAGAAAGGGACGGCUAACUACGUG